rnacentral:sRNA from 1 species
UUAUUAGAUGUCAUGGGUAUGAGUGAGUAUGACAACUAGAACCAUAACCGGACCUUAAAAUCCUAAGUAUUGAAUCUUUGUAAGAAGAUACAAAGAGAAAGACUCAUACGGACUUCGGCUACACUAUCAAUGCUUUGAGAAGCAAGAAGAUGCUUGGU